rnacentral:rRNA from 1 species
UUGAACGCUGGCGGCAUGCUUUACCCAUGCAAGUCGCACGGCAGCGCGGGCUUCGGCCUGGCGGCGAGUGGCGAACGGGUGAGUAAUACAUCGGAACGUGCCCAGUAGUGGGGGAUAGCUCGGCGAAAGCCGGAUUAAUACCGCAUACGACCUGAGGGUGAAAGCGGGGGAUCUUCGGACCUCGCGCUAUUGGAGCGGCCGAUGGCAGAUUAGCUAGUUGGUGGGGUAAAGGCCUACCAAGGCGACGAUCUGUAGCUGGUCUGAGAGGACGACCAGCCACACUGGGACUGAGACACGGCCCAGACUCCUACGGGAGGCAGCAGUGGGGAAUUUUGGACAAUGGGCGAAAGCCUGAUCCAGCAAUGCCGCGUGUGUGAUGAAGGCCUUCGGGUUGUAAAGCACUUUUGGCGGGAACGAAAAGGACUGUGCCAAUACCACGGUUCGAUGACGGUACCCGCAGAAUAAGCACCGGCUAACUACGUG